CGGUGGCUUGCCAGAACACCCCUCUUUUGCUCCAGUCACAUGGAUCACAGGUUGACCUCGAAUCAGGUAGGAAUACCCGCUAA
rnacentral:rRNA from 1 species